UAACGCGUGGGAAUCUGCGUAACGGUACGGAAUAACUCAGGGAAACUUGAGCUAAUACCGUAUAAAGACUCCGGUCCAAAGAUUUAUCGCCUGAGGAUGAGCCCGCGUCGGAUUAGCUAGUUGGUGAGGUAAGAGCUCACCAAGGCGACGAUCCGUAGCUGGUCUGAGAGGAUGGUCAGCCACACUGGGACUGAGACACGGCCCAGACUCCUACGGGAGGCAGCAGUGGGGAAUAUUGGACAAUGGGCGAAAGCCUGAUCCAGCAAUGCCGCGUGAGUGAUGAAGGCCUUAGGGUUGU
rnacentral:rRNA from 1 species